CGGACGAAGGAGUCUAACACGUACGCAAGUUGGCGGGCUUUUUUGAAACCCGCAGGCGAAAGUGAAAGCGAAUAGGUUUGGGGAAGCUUUUCUUUUUGAUAAGCGGAAUUUUGCCUUAAUGGAGGAUCCACGCGAGGCGAAGUAUUUUACCUCGCUGGCGCACUCCAGGGGCGUUCUUUCUUGCGUCUAGUUCGUUGCUUACCUCUUAAAUCGUGACAUGUGACUUUAUCGUCUUGGCGGAAUUGUCAUUUUGGCGCGACUACGGGGUAUAUAUGCAUAUACGCGUGAUGCUGCUGAAGGAGCGCACCAAGAGCGUACGCGUUGGGACCCGAAAGAUGGUGAACUAUGCCUGGCCAGGAUGAAGCCAGAGGAAACUCUGGUGGAGGUCCGUAGCGAUUCUGACGUGCAAAUCGAUCGUUUGAGCUGGGUAUAGGGGCGAAAGACUAAUCGAACCAUCUAGUAGCUGGUUCCCUCCGAAGUUUCCCUCAGGAUAGCUGGAGCUCGGAAACUAUUUUUUGAUGGAGAGUCUCAUCCGGUAAAGCGAAUGAUUAGAGGCCUUGGGGUUGAAAUGACCUCAACCUAUUCUCAAACUUUAAAUGGGUGAGAAACCUGGCUUGCUUGACUUGAAGCCCGGGUCUCCGAUCUAUGUGCAGCCCAGUGGGCCACUCUUGGUAAGCAGGACUGGCGAUGUGGGAUGAACCAAACGUCGGGUUACGGCGCCAAAGUCGAUGCCGAUUUAGAAACCAGGAAAGGCGUUGGUUUCUAGAGACAGCAGGAC
rnacentral:rRNA from 1 species